rnacentral:rRNA from 1 species
ACAUCCAGCGAACUUGGCAGAGAUGCCUUGGUGCCUUCGGGAACGCUGAGACAGGUGCUGCAUGGCUGUCGUCAGCUCGUGUUGUGAAAUGUUGGGUUAAGUCCCGCAACGAGCGCAACCCUUAUCCUUUGUUGCCAGCGAGUUCGGUCGGGAACUCAAAGGAGACUGCCGGUGAUAAACCGGAGGAAGGUGGGGAUGACGUCAAGUCAUCAUGGCCCUUACGAGUAGGGCUACACACGUGCUACAAUGGCGCAUACAAAGAGAAGCGACCUCGCGAGAGCAAGCGGACCUCAUAAAGUGCGUCGUAGUCCGGAUCGGAGUCUGCAACUCGACUCCGUGAAGUCGGAAUCGCUAGUAAUCGUGGAUCAGAAUGCCACGGUGAAUACGUUCCCGGGCCUUGUACACACCGCCCGUCACACCAUGGGAGUGGGUUGCAAAAGAAGUAGGUAGCUUAACCUUCGGGAGGGCGCUUACCACUUUGUGAUUCAUGACUGGGGUGAAGUCGUAACAAGGUAAGCGUAGCGAG